rnacentral:lncRNA from 1 species
AAAAAUUUCAGCAAUCAUAUUCUAGGUUAGUCUCCAUAUUAAGAAUUUGGCAUUACAGUUCCGUGCCUAAUUGAACACCUAAACGUAAAAGAUCAAUCCAGAAUUGCCAACAUAGAAUAGUGUAUAAAAAAAAAAAAAAAAAAAACAUAGAAUAGCGUAUAAAAGAAAACAAAAUUUGCUUGUAGCUCUUCAACCAAAAAUUUAACAAAUAAGAAAUGAAAUAACAUCAUAAUAGAAAAGAAUUGUUUCAUAGUCUCUCUUCUCUCACAAUCACAAUGAUCUUCAUCUACCUCUUCUUUUACUCUUUGUAAGAAACUCUCCCAUAACCUUUGGAGCACAAACCCUAAAUUCAUGAAUCAAUUUCAUUGCCUCCUCUCUCCUUAACCUCAAACUCAUCAAAGCACCAAAACAACACAACCCAAAGAUCCAAUUUUGAACAUUUUUCUUAAACCCUUUGAUCAACAUAAUCCCAAACAAACCAACAAAAAUGUCACUUCUAAAUCCUCUCCCAGAAUACAAAAACAAAGAACCCAAAAUCACCAAAGACACCAGAAACCCUAAAUUUCCCUUUCUUCUUCUUUUCCACCAACUAAACCCUCCUCCUCCAAAACCCUUCCAGAACCCUGGUCCCCCACCGUCUCCACCAUUAAAUUCUUCAAUAAAAAGAUCCAAAGGUUGUGGUAAAAUCUUGAGAUUAGAAGCCAAAAUUGAGACCAAUUGAAGCACCAACCUUGUUGAUCUUUGAUAACCAGAUCGCCUUUUGGUCCUUUUUGCACAUACGAUUGCUUUUUGGAUAUGGGUUUUGUGUGACUGCGAAAAAGAACACCGGAAAAAUGGCAACUUUGUAGCGAAGCCAGGGUUUUGAACAAAAGUGUAUGUUUCAACAACUGGGUUCAAGAAAAGAGAGUGAUUUGAGAGAAGAAAAUGGGAUUUGAAUUGAAGGGUUUGAGGCAUUUUUUAGUUUCUAUUGCUCAUGCGAAGAAGAAGAACUAGUGACCGUUACGAAUUUGAAAAUCUGGGGAGGAGCUUCGUGUUAACGAAUUAGUGGCUUGAAACUGUUUAUGGUUCAUUGGAUUUUGAAAAGUUUGCCCCACCUUUAAUAUGGGCCCUAAAUUUGAUAAACUGGGAAAAAAAUUGGUUUUGCAAGUGAAUUUUUUGUUAACACCCCAAAAAAAAAAAAGAAUUGAUAAAGUGAAAUUAACGAACUUUCUAAUUACAAUGAUAAAAACAGAAAGUAAUUGGUAAUGAUACAAACAAAAAUUUUUCCC